rnacentral:rRNA from 1 species
UAUGGCCAUAUCAUGUUGAAACAUUGGUUCCCAUAUGAUCACCAAAAGUUAAGCAAUGUUGAGCUUGGUCAGUACUUAGAUGGGUGACUGCUUGGGAAUAUCAGGUGCUGUAAG